GUUGCAUUGCUAUUGUCUUUUAUUACGUCUGAGCAAUGAACUGUAUUUCUGAGGAUGGGAUAGAAUAGUUGUGGUGUC
rnacentral:sRNA from 1 species